GACGAACGCUGGCGGCGUGCUUAACACAUGCAAGUCGAACGCUGAAGCUCAGCUUUUGUUGGGUGGAUGAGUGGCGAACGGGUGAGUAACACGUGAGUAACCUGCCCCCUUCUUUGGGAUAACGCCCGGAAACGGGUGCUAAUACUGGAUAUUCACUGGUCUUCGCAUGGGGGUUGGUGGAAAGGGUUUUUCUGGUGGGGGAUGGGCUCGCGGCCUAUCAGCUUGUUGGUGGGGUGAUGGCCUACCAAGGCUUUGACGGGUAGCCGGCCUGAGAGGGUGAACGGUAACAUUGGGACUGAGAUACGGCCCAGACUCCGACGGGGGGCAGCAGUGGGGAAUAUGGCACAAUGGGCGCAAGCCUGAUGCAGCGACGGCGCGUGAGGGAUGGAGGCCGUCGGGUUGUGAACCUCGUUCGCUAAUGGUCAAGCCGCAACAAUGGUUGUGGUGAGGGUAGUGGGUAAAGAAGCGCCGGCUAACUACGUG
rnacentral:rRNA from 1 species